rnacentral:rRNA from 1 species
GACGAACGCUGGCGGCGUGCCUAAUACAUGCAAGUAGAACGCUGAAGGAGGAGCUUGCUCUUCUGGAUGAGUUGCGAACGGGCGAGUAACGCGUAGGUAACCUGCCUGGUAGCGGGGGAUAACUAUUGGAAACGAUAGCUAAUACCGCAUAAGAGUAGAUGUUGCAUGACAUUUACUUAAAAGGUGCAAUUGCAUCACUACCAGAUGGACCUGCGUUGUAUUAGCUAGUUGGUGGGGUAACGGCUUACCAAGGCGACGAUACAUAGCCGACCUGAGAGGGUGAUCGGCCACACUGGGACUGAGACACGGCCCAGACUCCUACGGGAGGCAGCAGUAGGGAAUCUUUGGCAAUGGACGGAAGUCUGACCGAGCAACGCCGCGGGAGUGAAGAAGGUUUUCGGAUCGUAAAGCUCUGUUGUAAGAGAAGAACGAGUGUGAGAGUGGAAAGUUCACACUGUGACGGUAUCUUACCAGAAAGGGACGGCUAACUACGUG